rnacentral:rRNA from 1 species
AUUGAACGCUGGCGGCAGGCCUAACACAUGCAAGUCGAACGAGUGGCGGACGGGUGAGUAAUGUCUGGGAAACUGCCCGAUGGAGGGGGAUAACUACUGGAAACGGUAGCUAAUACCGCAUACCAUCGGAUGUGCCCAGAUGGGAUUAGCUUGUAGGUGAGGUAACGGCUCACCUAGGCGACGAUCCCUAGCUGGUCUGAGCGGAUGAACAGCUAAACUGGAACUGAGACACGGUCCAGACUCCUACGUGAGGCAGCAGUGGGGAAUAUGGAACAAUGGGCGCAAGGCUGAUGCAGCCAUGGCGCGUGUAUGAAGAAGGCCUUCGGGUUGUAUAGGACUUGCAGCGGGGAGGCGUUACCAGCAGAAGAAGCACAGGCUAACUCCGUGCCAGCAGCCGCGGGAAUAC